AUUGAACGCUGGCGGAAUGCUUUACACAUGCAAGUCGAACGGCAGCACGGGUGCUUGCACCUGGUGGCGAGUGGCGAACGGGUGAGUAACAUAUCGGAACGUAUCCAAUAAUGGGGGAUAACUAAUCGAAAGGUUGGCUAAAACCGCAUACGCCCUACGGGGGAAAGCUAGGGACCUUCGGGCCUGGCGUUAAUGGAGCGGCCGAUAACUGAUUAGCAAGUUGGGGGGGUAAUGGCCUACCAAGGCGACGAUCAGUAGCUGGUCUGAGAGGACGACCAGCCACACUGGAACUGAGACACGGUCCAGACUCCUACGGGAGGCAGCAGUGGGGAAUUUUGGACAAUGGGCGCAAGCCUGAUCCAGCCAUUCCGCGUGAGUGAAGAAGGCCUUCGGGUUGUAAAGCUCUUUCGCAAGGGAAGAAAACUUAUCCUCUAACAUAGGAUGAGGUUGACGGUACCUUGAUAAGAAGCACCGGCUAACUACGUGCCAGCAGCCGCCGUAAGAC
rnacentral:rRNA from 1 species